AUUGAACGCUGGCGGCAUGCCUUACACAUGCAAGUCGAACGGUAACGGGCCUUCGGGUGCCGACGAGUGGCGAACGGGUGAGUAAUGCAUCGGAACGUACCUUUCAGUGGGGGAUAACGUAGCGAAAGUUACGCUAAUACCGCAUAUUCUGUGAGCAGGAAAGCAGGGGAUCGCAAGACCUUGCGCUGAUUGAGCGGCCGAUGUCAGAUUAGCUAGUUGGUGAGGUAAAGGCUCACCAAGGCGACGAUCUGUAGCGGGUCUGAGAGGAUGAUCCGCCACACUGGAACUGAGACACGGCCCAGACUCCUACGGGAGGCAGCAGUAAGGGAUCUUGCGACAAUGGGCGAAAGCCUGACGCAGCAACGCCGCGUGCGGGAGGACGGCCUCGGUUGUAACGACUUUUCGGGGUACGGUAGGAAGGACGGUACCCCGGAACGGAACGUACUCGGCGUAACUACGUAGCCAGCAGCCGCGGUAACGUCUCGUCUCUA
rnacentral:rRNA from 1 species